GGGACAGAGGCACACCCGGAGGGCUUGGCGGGAACAUCAGUAGCGUGCCCAAGGGCACCCACUUCCCAGGGCUACUCCUGCAUGGGCAGGACACGCCAGCAACAGCAGCCUGGAGGAGUGGGGACCAGUGACCCUUCUUCAAAUUGCCAGGCCUCAGUGUUCUUCGAAAACCCCAGAGGGGCCUGUGGUAGUCCUGGAAAGCCAAGAGCUGCUGGGCCAAACUUAUUUGAUCUCAAAAAGAGAAGAAAUGUGUAAUUUCCAGCCCUGAAAGGUUGUGGAGCACACCACAAACACCUGUCAUAGCUGUGUGAGUAUCUUUACUUUUCAGGCAUGCACGGUUCAUUUCGUUUCUUCACUGAGACUUGACGGAGGGCCUUGGUAUGUCAGGAACAUCUUUAGUGUCUGGGGAACAGAGGUGAAAAAGACAUAAGGUGCCCACUUGUGCAACUGACACACAAUAAACACAAACAAGAGAAAUAUCAGGGAGUAGCCACUGAAAUGCAGAAAGUUAGGGAGUGAGUAUCCUCGGGACACACCAGCUCCUAUGGGUGGAACAGUACCCAGGGUGUCUUGGGGUUUCCACGUGAAGGAGCAGGGAAGUGCUCGGUGAGGUCCCUCAGGCUAGCAGGGCCUGUCCCGGGAAGUAGGAGGGCAGGGAACUGGGGAGGAGGCCAAAGGAGAGACCGGCAGAUGCGGAUGGCCUUGGAGUCCAUUUCCAGCACCUUGGCAGGCUAUCAGAGGGUUUCAGCAGGAGAAUGAUGUUUUGGGUGUGAGUCCUGGCUCCAGAGCUGUGUGAUGUGGCCAGACUACUUAUCUUCCCUGUGCCUCAGUCCCCCAUCUGAGAACAUGGAGAUAAUAGCAAUGUCUACUUGAUAGAGAUGUUAUCAGAAUUGAGUGUAAAAUAGAAGAGUUUCUGGUAUCAGAUCAAUGCUCAAUACGUGUCCUUGUUAUUACUAAUUAUUGUAUAACUAUGAUUCCUCUUGGACAAGCAGGGACAGAGGAUCUUAGGGGAAGGAAGCCAAGUAGGGGAGUCAGAGGCCACGUGAAUUCCCUCAAUGCAGAGGGUCCACCAUGUGCCUGCUCAAUGGGGAACUGACCCAUGACUGUCUUUAGGGAUGGGUGGGAACCUAGAAUGCAAGUUCUCACUGAAACAAUCUCUGGGCCAGUGAGUUUCUGGAGCAGCCAGCACACACCUGCCUAAUUCGUGUUAGAGCUAAGCUCUACUUAUUACAGCCCAUUUCUGUGGUCAGCAUUCUCAGGUGCUUCUGUGGCAAGAUGCUCGCUCAGCACCUGCCACACAGUGGCAGAGAAGGACCUGAGGCUCACUUGUAACUGAUAAAGCAAUGCAGAGGGGACGGGCUGUCCCUCUGAGAUUAGGAGCGGGAUGUAGAAGGCUCCCUCCGGCUCACAUCAUCAGGAAGCUCCUCCAGGUGGCCUUGCAGAACAAGCUGUGCAGUGAACUGUCCACGGAGAAGACCGCCUGGCAGAGCGUUCUCCGGCCCACAACCAGUGAGAAGUUGAUAAAAA
rnacentral:lncRNA from 1 species